rnacentral:lncRNA from 1 species
GUCAGUUGAAAUUUGAAUUUUAGUUUUAUUUAGCAUUUGUUCAUGUCAUUUGAGUCAGUUUUUAUUUUCUUUUGCUUUGAUGUAAUCACCUAUUAUGGGUUGUUUUAAUCUAAUGAAUUUGAUUUUGUUUACCUCCAGUUUCCUGUUUAUUUCGUUAGAUAUGUGACUAUGUCUGGCUAUUGGUUAUCUUGAUCACUUACACCAAAUACUUGGGCGUCCUCUCUUUCAGUCCCCUGACUGUAGAUACUGUUGUUUAUGAUUGGACGCACUGGUUAAGAUUAACA